CUCUCUCUCUCUCUCUCUCUCUCUCUCUCUCUCUCUCUCUAUCUCUCUCCCUCUCCCUCUGAACACACAGAGAGAGGCCACGGGAGGACACAGCAAGAAGAAAGCUAACUACAAGUCUCACCAGAAACUGAUCCUGCCAGCAACUCCGUCUCUACAGCUGUGGGAAAAUGAAUGCUGUUUAAGCUGCGCAGUUGGUGGUAUUUUGCUCCAGCAGCCCAAGCAGGCUAACGCUGUGACUUUGGGGAGUGUAAGACCGGGGGCCUUACCAAACGCUCUGAGAAGCUGACUGCAGCGAAGAACACCCGGGAAGGAACACACUGGACAAGUUGGAAAGCAAAACAGACCUUUACUAGUCUGGCCAGAUGGCACUCCCAAAACAAAGUAGCUUAGAGAGGCAACUGGCUCAGAGUCCAAGGCUGUUCUUAUAGGGGGUUGCAGGGGAAGUUAGUAAGCAGAACUUACAGAAAAGAGAAAAAAAUGUUGAUGGUCAAAAGAUGUUUGCAGAUUGUCUUAUAGAUAGCUGUGUCUGGAACAUCAAUUUUGGACAAACAAGGAGAUGGGUAAUUCACUUAGGAACCCUAUGUUUGUUACAGAUUUUAUCUAAUGUCCCAGAACUAACAAGCACAUUUUAACCAUUAACUCACAAUCAGUCACUAUGUUGGGGCUGGGGGAGCCUUAUGAUUACAGAGUUAUGUGGUCCCACAGGAGCAUGGUGUGCCCUUCCACUGAGCUUCUUCUGCCUUGGAGCCAGCCAACCAUGGACUAAAACCACUGGAAACCAUGAGCCAAAUAAACCUCUCCUCUUUUAUCU
rnacentral:lncRNA from 1 species